rnacentral:lncRNA from 1 species
AAAAAACAAAAAAACCUCUUAAAACUCUCUCAGCCCCUCUGACCUCCGACCAUCGAUCUCCGAUCUCCGAUGCCGGCACCACCGUCUGCGGUGGCUGGAAAGAAAAAAAACCCCAGUUUGACCUGUUAGUCCAUCCGAGCCUAAAUCUGGGCCCAAAUCCCACAAAAUAUCAAUGAAGAUACCCCUAAAAGCGGAGAAACCUUUCGGGUUCCGGUCGUCCUUCAUCGGGAACGACGCCCUCGGCCAUCCACGGCGAUCUGGGGUUCAACACACAGAUGGUUUCUCUCUUUUCCCUAGUUAUUUUAUUCGUACGCAUAUAAUGGUAAAAAACACAAAAAUAUAACAAUAGAAAAUAAAUAACAACCUUUGACUUGAUUUUGCUCUCUAUAUUGCGAAAGUAGUAGUUUUAUUUCUGAUUCCCAAAAAAAAUCCUUUUUUACAAUAUGUUCCAUGGCUUCUUAUAGCCGUAUGAAAUAAAUCUAAAGAAGAAACAAAUCUAUUUCUUUAUUUGAUUUGCAAAUCUUUUGAUUUGCUUUCCAUUUUUGUUUUCCUAGAUGCGCAGGUGAAGAUCCAUUGGAGAUUCGGAGCUUGCGGCGCGAGAUGUUGCUGUUGCUAGGGUUCUAGAAACUGUUCUCACCAUUUGGGCUAAACUGUAAUUUGGGCUUUGGGUUCGGGUCAUUUAUUUUAGGCCUAUUUCACUGUAAUUGGGUUUGGGUUUUGGGCCCGUUUAGUUGUAAAAGGAUUGAUUUAUAUAAGCCGGGUAAAAUUGAGGUAUUACACCAGGAAAGUUACAAUAUUAUAGUUUGCGAUACACAUUUUUAAAUUUACAAUAUUUUAGUAAAGCUUUUACUAAAAACAGGUUGAAAUAGAAAACAUGCAUGAUUGCUUGAAA